UGCCGGAUCGUCUAAUGGUAGGACUCGGGAAUUUGGAUCCCGCUAUCUAGGUUCGAAUCCUAGUCCGGCAGCCA
rnacentral:tRNA from 1 species